UUUAACUUUAAUAAAAUUUAACGUUGAAAAUAUCUAUCAAAACAUUAUACAAUUAAUUAUCUUCCUCAAUAUUAACUUAUUUACAAAACUGUCACCAUUGUAGUUUUGCCAAUUAAAGUCUAUCCAUGCAUAGUGUAUAAAAAACUGAACCAAAACAAUAUCAUGCAUGUGGCCUUUAUGAGGCAUUAUUGCCAUGUUCCUUUAUCAAAUUAGUUCCAAAUUGUUAGACAGAGUGAAAUAUAGUAAGUGCUCAAUAUAGGAAAUUCCAACAAGAAUACAAAUUCUUGGCAAUGCUGUGUUGUUAUUUUGCAUGCCAUCUAGCAAUGGAUAAUUUGAUAAAACAAGAUUUUGCUUAUAUUAACCCAUUAAGCGCCAGCGCUCUCCCCUUGAUGAGUAAAAUCGUCUGGCGUUAGACAGAGUAAAAUACUAAAGUAGGGUGCAUCAGGGAGCAUCGCCACUGAAUAGGUUAACUAGACAUAUGGGCAGAUAGGCGGGUUAACCCAUUAAGCGCCAGCGCUCUCCCCUUGACGAGUAAAAUCGUCUGGCGUUAGACAGAGUAAAAUGCUAAUGUAGGGUGCAUCAGGGAGCAUCGCCACUGAAUAGGUUAAUUAGACAUAUGGGCAGAUAAGCGGGUUAACCCAUUAAGUGCCAGCGCUCUCCCCUUGACGAGUAAAAUUGUCUGGCGUUAGGCAGAGUAAAAUACUAAAGUAGGGUGCAUCAGGGAGCAUCGCCACUGAAUAGGUUAACUAGACAUAUGGGCAGAUAGGCGGGUUAACCCAUUAAGUGCCAGCGCUCUCCCCUUGAUGAGUAAAAUUGUCUGGCGUUAGGCAGAGUAAAAUACUAAAGUAGGGUGCAUCAGGGUGCAUCGCCACUCAAUGGGUUAGGAUAACCAGGAGCCGGUUGUUUCAAAGGCGAAUUAGCUUAAACGGUGGAUAAGCACAAAUUUCAAAACAUUCCUAUUCAUUUUGUAAAAAAUUGAACUUCAAUUUUAUCAACGAAAUGUGUAGUUCAAUGCAUGGUUGUUAUGUUUGGACAGAAAAUAUUAGUUUGAUUGUGGUCUAUAGUUCAUGGAUUUGUUUGAUAGUUGAGCUAAAUAUCCUUGAUACAACCGGCCCCUGGCUUUCAACUUUUAGACAGAAUAAAAAUUAUGUACCGGUACAUAAAUACAGAUGCAAUGCCAUCGACAUAGUGGUUAUGAUGAUGAUGACAUGCAAAGGUUUUGGAAGAUUAGCAAUUUAAUUGUAGUUGUUGCCAAAAAUCUUGCAGCAAUCCAGUUUGUGAUGAAGCCACUAGAUACCAUCUGUUUUAAUAGCCAUUUCCAGGGUUAUGAGGUUACCAUUCCAGAUGAUGACCAGCUGAUGGAAAUCCGACAGCAGAAAAAAUUCAAAAAAGAGUUGAGAGUUAGACAUAAAGAGUUGAUACCCUAAAAACUAUAUGGCAUUAUUUUGCAUACAUGCAGUGAACCCUUUCCUUUAGAGGAAGGGAUCACCACAUAAAGGCUAAUUAACACAUUAAACCAUAAGCCUAAAAGGCCUAUGUACAAGGCUUUCCAUCUGGUUUAAAAACAAAGCAGAGUGAAGUAGUCACAAUGAAACAACUGUGUUGCAUGAUCUAUAGGUAUAACCUUUAUGUGUUGGCAUACACUCUGGUUGAAAGUUGAAAAGGUUUACCUUUGAUGAGGAAUAUAAUGUCCAGCAUUGGACAAAGUAGUAAAUAAUCAUAGAGCAUCAGCCAUUUUCCAAUUGAGACUGCAAAGCAUGCAUGUGUGGAUUGUUU